rnacentral:lncRNA from 1 species
AUGAUAAGAGAAAAAGAAAAGUGGCAAAAUGAAAAUAAAAAUAAACAAAAAAAUAUAAACAAAGAAACAGCUGUUUCUGAUGCUUCAUUUUUCAACGAAUUAGAAAAAACUAGUAGCAUUAUAACUAUUAAAGAUAUUAAUGAAUGUGAGGAUUAUACAGACAUUCAAACGCUUGAUUCAUUCAUUAAUGAAAAAAAUAAAAUUGACGGAACACAUGUCGGAAGAGGCUUAAAUUUUUUAAAUGGAAACGAAAAAAAAAAAUUCAUUAAAACAAUAUCAGUUUAGAACUUCUUAUAUGCAAUGUGUUGUUGUCUAAUAUUUCUGAUUAUACAAGAGGGGAAGAAGAUAAACAUGAACAAAUAAAAACUCUUAAUAAAAUAAAUAAUAUUUUUUG